UUCCUGUGAUGGUUACUUUUAUGUGUCAACUUGGCUGGGCCACGGAUAUUUGGCCAAACAUUCUGGAA